rnacentral:lncRNA from 1 species
GCAUUCAAAUGGUGUUGCUUGCUCGGGAUACUAUUGAUAUGUGUUUGGGUGUGGGAUUAGACUCACUGAGUAAACUAGUUACUCAUGACUCAUUUGAUAUGCAGGUAACCAGUAGGUGGGAUACCUUUACUCUAGGACGGGAAGGAAAGGCAUUAGCCAGCGGUAGUUUUAUUAUCCUUGCAGUCGUUUUGAUAUACUUUAUGUAUAAGGUUUGUUGACCAAAAACCUCGAGGUUAAUCUAUAAGAUUUUGUAAGAUUCUUUUAAAUGAAUAAGUAUAUAGUGUAUAAAGAAUGUUUUUGAAGUACGGGUUCCAAAUGAUAUAAGUCCUUGUCCGGGCGAACCAACUAUUGGGUAUUACUCUUAAGGUUGUAAAGCCUCGGGUUGUACCUAAUAGGAUAUGUUUACUUAGGCGGUUGGCCUAAGGUACCUGGAUUUAUUUCGGGAAC